CGAGUGAGCUUAUAAACAUACACACGGUAAAAUAAUUAUCUCAUCUACUGUAAAAAUAAUUGCCCCUUCUGUUUUUCUACCCGAAACGGCUUGCCAUGCGCCUGAUGUUGUAGAUCCGCUCAAUAUAAAGAGCCGAUUUCUGUGAGAGGCAAAAGAACAAGGGGAUAAGAAAUUACUUGGACAAAAAGGAGACGGUUGUGCAAUAAAGAGAAUGGAUAAUCCAUAAACUAUUGAUAAAGCUGCAUGGAAUAAAGAAAUGUUGCAUGUCUUUUGUGACCUUUGCAUCAAGGCCAUCGAUAUGAGAAUGAGAUCGAAUACUCAUUUCGACAAGGCCGGUUGGAAAUAUUUGCAAACAUCUUUCAAAGAAAUAACUGAUCACGCAUUCACAAAGACACAAUUGAAGAACAAAUGGGAUGACUGCAAAAAGGAUUGGAGGAUAUGAACGAAGUUCAUUUCAGAAACUGGUGUGGGCUGGAGUGCAGAAUUAGGGACAAUUUCUGCAAGUCAUGAGUGGUGGAAAAUAAAAAUUCAGGAAAUAAGAGGCG